UACGUAGGGCGCAAGCGUUAUCCGGAAUUAUUGGGCGUAAAGAGCUCGUAGGCGGUUUGUCGCGUCUGCCGUGAAAGUCCGGGGCUCAACUCCGGAUCUGCGGUGGGUACGGGCAGACUAGAGUGAUGUAGGGGAGACUGGAAUUCCUGGUGUAGCGGUGAAAUGCGCAGAUAUCAGGAGGAACACCGGUGACGAAGGCGGGUCUCUGGGCCGUAACUGACGCUGAGGAGCGAAAGCAUGGGGAGCGAACAGG
rnacentral:rRNA from 1 species